CCUACGGGUGGCUGCAGUCGAGAAUUUUUCUCAAUGGGGGAAACCCUGAAGGAGCGACGCCGCGUGAGGGAUGAAGGGCUUCGGCCCGUAAACCUCUGUCAUUUGCGAACAAACGUUAUGGUUGAACAUUCCAUGACCUGAUUGUAGCGAAAGAGGAAGGGACGGCUAACUCUGUGCCAGCAGCCGCGGUAAUACAGAGGUCCCAAGCGUUGUUCGGAUUCACUGGGCGUAAAGGGUGCGCAGGUGGGUUUGCAAGUUCGAUGUGAAAGCCCCGG
rnacentral:rRNA from 1 species